GACCCUAGAGCAGCGAUGUAGGCAUGACUAGAUUGUGCUAAUAAAAACAUUGGUUAUUUUAUCAGAAAGCCAUGCCUUGAAGUCUGCUGAAGAAAAGCAGGGGAUUAUAGCACGGGCCACCAAGAGCAGAAGAGCACGACGAUAGCGGAGGCCUUGAAGGUCCUGGCACAGGAUGUUACCAGAAGCCUCAAGCGCAAAUCGCAAGUAGAAAUUACUGAUCACAAGAGAAAUGCAAUCUUGAGAGCUGGGUAGGACCAGUUUUAGGGCCGAAUUGGGACAUGUGUUGAGUUGUGUAACAGCCUAUUGCAGCUGGCUGGCAGCACAGGUGGGGACGUUGUCAGAUGGUACACAAGAUUGCAACAAAACCGACUAGUUGCACGGGAAUCUGAUUUCAGAAUUGGGAAGACGCUGAUCUCCACUAUAUCAAAUCUUGGUAUCUCCGGUAAGGACCAAGAGUUUCAAACAGGCAGAAUCCUCUCCACUUUCCUUUUUUGUUGAUGUCCUUGGUAUGUGGCCUCCAGCUGAUGGAUCCUGGCUCCCCUCAGCACGCUUCAUUCUGCAAAACGUCGCUUCGAAUCGUGUUUUACAGGGGAGACCUUGGAGCCGUUCUUGUACCCAGAAAUGGUGCUGCUCCCCCAGCAUCUGGAAGACUGAAGCCUGACCACCAAAGCUCUUGUCCCGGAUUAAUUCCAGAUAAGCAAAUUUCAUAAAGCAUGUUACAGCAAGACAGAGAAACAUAGCAGUGUUUUGAAGCCUGGUUUUGAUUUUUGCUGGAAAGGAAGCAUGUUAGUGAUGCUGUACCUUAACCAGGUGAUACUGAAGUUUCUCCACAUCAGAUUUGCCCCCCUCCUGAAACAAUAAAAGUGCUACCAGUUGGGCUGCA
rnacentral:lncRNA from 1 species